AGAGUUUGAUCCUGGCUCAGAUUGAACGCUGGCGGUAUGCUUUACACAUGCAAGUCGAACGGCAGCACGGGGCAACCUGGUGGCGAGUGGCGAACGGGUGAGUAACAUAUCGGAACAUAUCCGGAAGUGGGGGAUAACGUAGCGAAAGUUACGCUAAUACCGCAUAUGCCCUGAGGGGGAAAGGGGGGGAUCGCAAGACCUCUCGCUUUCGGAGUGGCCGAUAUCGGAUUAGCUAGAUGGUGAGGUAAAGGCUCACCAUGGCGACGAUCCGUAGCGGGUCUGAGAGGACGACCCGCCACACUGGAACUGAGACACGGUCCAGACUCCUACGGGAGGCAGCAGUGGGGAAUUUUGGACAAUGGGCGCAAGCCUGAUCCAGCCAUACCGCGUGAGUGAAGAAGGCCUUCGGGUUGUAAAGCUCUUUCAGCCGGAAAGAAAUCGCACUUUUUAAUACGGAGUGUGGAUGACGGUACCGGAAGAAGAAGCGCCGGCUAACUACGUGCCAGCAGCCGCGGU
rnacentral:rRNA from 1 species